rnacentral:rRNA from 1 species
CGUCCCGCCGGCGACCGGCGCACGGGUGAGUAACACGUAUGCAACCUGGCCGCCACAGGGGGAUAACCCGCGGAAACGCGGCCUAAUACCCCGUGACGCCACCGGAGGGCAUCCUCCGGUGGCCAAAGGAGCGAUCCGGUGGCGGAUGGGCAUGCGGCGCAUUAGCUAGACGGCGGGGUGACGGCCCACCGUGGCGACGAUGCGUAGGGGUUCUGAGAGGAAGGUCCCCCACACUGGUACUGAGACACGGACCAGACUCCUACGGGAGGCAGCAG